CAAGGCCAUAGGUGGAGACAGCAACUUGAUGUGGAAUGCGGAGGCCUGCUACACUAGGAACAUAUCACAGGAGGUAUUAGGAGAGUCCAAGGAUAUAAGCUCACCUGAUAACAAAAUAUUGCAAAAACAAUAAGGUUUAUAUACAAGACAUUUAAGAAAGUACAAUAGCUAAACACGAACCAAAGAGGGUAAUUCUUCAAUCACAUAGGAGUGUGUGAAAAGUUAUAAAGUCAUAUUAAACCACAGCCAGAGAAAAAAGUUGCUCACUCUAUCUACGCAAAUGGAGAAAAGAAAUCAAGAUCAUGGGAGAGAGAGUAAUUGAGCACAGAGUAAAAUGUGUGAUGUUAUAUAUCUCUACCAUGAAAGCCAGUCAUCUCUUCCGGAAAUUGGCGGAAAGUGCAAAAAUAUAGAAGAAAGGCUUACAUGUGAUUAAUUUAAAACAAAGCAUAAGACAGGAUGCUCAAGAUAGCUUAUGGUGUGUUUUAGAUGACAAAGAACUUUCACUAACUACAUAAUGUUCACGUGAAUAUGCAUAACUUAGCGGUUGCUAAUGAGAUGGUAAUUAAAGUUUAUGUGCAUACAGGUGGGUGAGCAGAUGGUUGGAUAGGUAGGAAACCAAGAUGAGAAACAUCAACAAAAAUUCAUAUCAAGCACAAAAUAGAACCAAACAAUAAACCAAAAUAAAUAUUUCUCCUUCUCAUCACCACAUGUACUUCUAAUCCAAAUUGCCAUAUCAAUAAUUCCUGCUUCAACAAUUUAUAGCACAAACAGGUAACAUGUGAUAUCAAAUUAAAACUUACAGAAGGAACCAAAUCAUAAAAUUGAAAUUGCAACCACAAGUAAUGUCUCCAACAUUCAACAUUCACUAAUAAGGCGUGCACGGUGCAGAAAUAAUUCAAAUUCAAUACAAGGCAAAUCAUGUAACUGUAUCAAAUUACUAGAUUUUAGAAACAAUCAUUUACAAAUCUGUCCCAAAAUCUGAAAACGAACCAAAGAAAAAGAUAAGAAAAAGACAAAGAAGAAAAGAGUACAUCUGUUGGUGUUGGCUGACUCAAUGACUUGGCUCGAAAAUUGUAUUAGCACUAAAAUGGAAAGGAUAUAAGACUAAGAAAGAAUUGAUUGCUGAAAGUUUAAACAGAAAAAAGAUUAACUUACAAAUUCGAUGGUGGCAGCGGCAAUAUUUAAUAAUAGGUAAAAUAUUAAAACAAUUUAAUAACACAACAAUACUAAUAUUCAAAUUCCUGCUGUAACAACCCAAAAUGAAAUAAAAUACUUAUUUGCUAACCAAUUUGCAAUGCACAAGUAACAAUUUUAGCCCCUGUUUGACCCCCAUUACCUGAAAAUGAAAAUGGGGGGAAUAGUAUUUUAUAGAAAAAUGAGUGGUUGAAAAUAAGAAAAAAUUUUCGAUUUACGUGUAAUAUUAUUUUAUGGAAGAUUGUGUGGUUGAAAAUAGGAAAGAGAAAAAUGGAAUGUGAUGUAAUUUAAUUUAAUGGGUAUCAAACAGGGGCUUAAUAUUCAAACUCCCACUUAAAAUAUCAAGAACAAUUCACUUUUAGGGCUUAAUUUGUAGCAUGACAUAAGACUAACUCAAAUCUAAGAAAGCAUCAGACAUCAAUGUCACUCCUAUUAAUUUAAUGAUGCUGAGGCAUAUAAAACAUGCAUAUUCCUUUUGAGAAAAUAAUCAAUUAUCGUUUCAAACUCGCUUUUGAAUCAAAGUGGUUGUGCCUAUACUGAUCUGAUUCCCACUAGGCAAACAUAUAAAACAUAAAUGACAACAUUCAAAAAAUUAAAAUAUUAUCUUCAAGAUCCAACAAAACAACUUGAGUAUUUGUAAAAAAUCAUAGUCAAUAAAGACAAAACCCUAAACCAACAAUAAUAAUUGUAACAAUUCAAAAUUAA
rnacentral:lncRNA from 1 species